UAACGCGUAGGCAACCUGCCCUUAGGAUGGGGACAACGGCCCGAAGGACCGCUAAUACCGAAUGCACUCUAACUUCCGCCAUGGAAGAAAGAGGAAAGAUGGUGGCAAGCCAUCGCCGAAGGAAGGGCCUGCGUCUGAUUAGCCAGUUGGUGAGGUAACGGCUCACCAAAGCGACGAUCAGUAGCCGGUCUGAGAGGAUGAACGGCCACAAUGGGACUGAGACACGGCCCAU
rnacentral:rRNA from 1 species